UAGAGUUUGAUCCUGGCUCAGAUUGAACGCUGGCGGCAUGCUUUACACAUGCAAGUCGAACGGCAGCGCGGGGCAACCUGGCGGCGAGUGGCGAACGGGUGAGUAAUACAUCGGAACGUACCCAGAAGUGGGGGAUAACGUAGCGAAAGUUACGCUAAUACCGCAUACGUUCUACGGAAGAAAGUGGGGGACCUUCGGGCCUCAUGCUUUUGGAGCGGCCGAUGUCUGAUUAGCUAGUUGGUGAGGUAAAGGCUCACCAAGGCGACGAUCAGUAGCUGGUCUGAGAGGACGACCAGCCACACUGGGACUGAGACACGGCCCAGACUCCUACNGGACGCAGCA
rnacentral:rRNA from 1 species